AAGGGGAGCAAUCCCUGAGUAAAGUGGCGACCGGGUGAGUAACACGUGACUAACCUACCUUCGAGUGGGGGAUAACCUCGGGAAACCGGGGCUAAUACCGCAUAACAUCUUUGGAGUGGAAACUCCGGAGACCAAAGGAGCAAUUCGCUUGAAGAGGGGGUCGCGGCUGAUUAGCUAGUUGGCGGGGUAAUGGCCCACCAAGGCUUUGAUCGGUAGCCGGCCUGAGAGGGCGCACGGCCACACUGGAACUGAAACACGGUCCAGACUCCUACGGGAGGCAGCAGUGGGGAAUUUUGCGCAAUGGGGGAAACCCUGACGCAGCAACGCCGCGUGGAGGAUGAAGUCCCUUGGGACGUAAACUCCUUUCGACCGAGACGAUAAUGACGGUACCGGUGGAAGAAGCCCCGGCUAACUACGUGCCAGCAGCCGCGGUAAUACGUAGGCAGCGAGCGUUGUUCGGAAUUACUGGGCGUAAAGAGUGCGUAGGCGGUGCUCUAAGUCUGGUGUGAAAUCUCCCGGCUCAACUGGGAGGGUGCGCCGGANACUGGAGUGCUCGAGUAUGGGAGAGGUAAGCGGAAUUCCUGGUGUAGCGGUGAAAUGCGUAGAUAUCAGGAGGAACACCUGUGGUGUAGGCAGCUUACUGGACCAUGACUGACGCUGAGGCACGAAAGCGUGGGUAGCAAACAGGAUUAGAUACCCUGGUAGUCCACGCCCUAAACGAUGCAUACUUGGUGUGAGCCAUUCAUUUGGUUCGUGCCGG
rnacentral:rRNA from 1 species